UCCCACUUGCUAUUCUGAAGGCUCUUUGGU
rnacentral:piRNA from 1 species